GCCAUCCGUGCUGACGACAAGUUGAUAGCGGAAGAGGGGGUGGACAGUCUGAGUGUGAAUGAGCUUCAGGCAGCCUGUCGAGUCAGAGGGAUGAGAGCUCUGGGAGUCACAGAGGAGAGGCUGAGAGAACAGCUCCAGCAGUGGUUGGAGCUCUACCUGAACGCAGCACAUCCCACC